CAGAGCCCCAACCAGACUGUCUUGCGAAUCUGGACAAGAUGGCCCUUCUUGAGUCAGUCUGGACUCCAGACUGAGGUGCACUAGUGAGUCAGGGGAAUGUUGGUGGAAAGGUGGAAGUCGGGAAGGUGACCAGUGGUCAACAGGCUCAAGCCAUCCAGGCACACACACCGUGUGGGUGUGCCCAGCACCUUGGGGGAUGAAGCAGCUUCUAGUAGAGGGACUCCCCUGGAUGGGAAGCCAACAUGCCUGAAGCCAAGAGAGAGCGGGCUCCGGCAUCUACCGUAUCUCUUCCUACACAGUGUAAGCAGAGAAUGCCAGUUGGAAUCCUUUUGUUUCUUCUUCUUGCCAACUUUCUUCCUAGAACGUCCAACUCACUGUUGAAUAGAAAUAUCUCUCGAAGGUGGUAUCCUCGUCUUCCUGUUCAUCUGUGGGCUUUCAUGGGUGUCCUCUAUCGGCAGGAGGUGUGUUCUCUUUUUGGUCCUCCCUCAACAACUGUUUUCCUUAUGAAGAGGCACUAGAUUUAUGUACCCCAUACUUUUUCUGUGUCUAUUGGGAUGGCCAUGUGUUUUUUAAACAUUUAUCUCAUUAAGAUGUGCCUUAUUAAUUUUCUGCAUCGGUCUUGUUUUUGAGGUAGCCUGUCCCUGAGUCUAGCCCUUCACAUCUUGAUGCCUUAGGUUCCAAGGGUGAACCUCAAGUGUUAAGAGGAUCUUAAUCUUGUGCUGCUGCAAGAUCCCUCUGCUAUCUCUUUGUUGAAGAGUUUUGAAUCUGUAUUAGUAAGAUGCGUUGGCCUGUGGUUUCCUGUUUGCGUCUUUAUCUUUUGACACCAGGCUGAGCAGCAGCUGCGCCCUGGGCUUAAAGGCUCAUCUUCUCUCCGUGUGUGUGUGGGGGGGGGGGGGGGCGGGGGGGCCCAGUCUUCAGAGUCAGGAAGUCCCUCUCACGUGGUCGAGUUCCAGAGACCAAGCUCCUGUCGCUUUAGAUCCUGAGUGUUGUGGAGGGGCUCCACGGAGCAAGAACCUUCCAAGCCCUCACAGCCUGGAGCACCUCUGGGUCCGUUCAGUGGGAGCGUCUCCAGGAGAGCCCCUCCCUCCCGGGACUCACUUGAAGAUGAGCAAACAGCACCAAGCCAGUGAAAACUGCUUCCACGGCUCUGAAGGGAGAGGAGAGGGGAUUCCUUGUGCAUGGCUUACAUCCCCCGUGGGCAGCCAUUCUAAAGCACUUGCUUAGACGUGGAUAACUCACAGGCACUUCAGGGAUGGGAUGGAGGACAUAAACUGGUGGGGUCACUUUGGCCUUUACCAGUGAAGUGGAGGCUGCAAUUUCAUAGCCAGACAUCUUGACAUGGGAACCCGAGGGGAAGGGGGAAUCGUCCUCAGCGCAGCAAAGCUGAAUGGAACCCAGCUGUACGUUAACGGGAGACAUAAACGGCAAACUGUGCAUUCAUGGGGAAAAGAAACGGCAAAGUGUGCGUUAGCAGGAGAGACAAACUAUGGUAGGAACAGUGUGAGAGACCAACGCCUUUGUAGCAGUAGAGAUGUGCAAACCAAAAACAACUACAUGUUUCGAUGUAGCAAAGUCCCUGAUAAGGGCUGGAGGGCCACACCCCUUAAAAGAUGCACAAAAUUGCCUGCACCAAGGCAAAACAAACAAACAAACAAAACAAAACAAACAAAAACUAUAGGCAACAUAUGAAGAAGGGAAAGGAUGGAGAAUGGGAAUUCGCCAGAUAGGAUUGCUGGGGAUGGCAGGGGCGGAAAAAGACUGGAAGAAAUAGCCGUGGGGUCUGUAUGAGGAGGUGUGUACAGCUGGGCUGGGCACUGUCACAGCGCUGUCAUAGUGCCCAGCCUAGCCCAGCUGUCCCUUGCAUCAUUUGCACAAUUUAUGUGUUCUUUCAGGUACAGAAAACAAUGUUUGAUACCUCGAUUUUAGGUAUCAUGAGAGCCUGGGCUAUAGCUCUUCUCCCUUCCUCCAGAUCCCUUCAUGCUAAAAACAGAUUUAAACAAAACCCCGCUAAGAGCUAAGACAGCGAGAAUGAGCCCCGGGGACUGUACAGAGAGAAGCCCAGAAGGAGAAACUAUGCCAAGCAAGGCCUGCUGGGAAGCCACCAGAAAAGCCUCCCCU
rnacentral:lncRNA from 1 species